rnacentral:rRNA from 1 species
GGCCUGGCUGGGCGGUCUUGCCGAAAGGUAAGCACUGCUCUGGUCGGGCCUUUCCUUCUGGGGAACCUGCGUGCUCUUAAUUGAGUGCGCAGGGGAUCCAGGACUUUUACUUUGAAAAAAUUAGAGUGUUCAAAGCAGGCCUAUGCGCCCGAAUACAUUAGCAUGGAAUAAUAAAAUAGG